AGCUUGCUCCCGGAAGAUUAGCGGCGGACGGGUGAGUAACACGUGGGCAACCUACCUGUAAGUCUGGGAUAACUUCGGGAAACCGGAGCUAAUACCGGAUAAUUUCUUUCUUCGCAUGAAGAAAGGUUGAAAGACGGCUUUGCUGUCACUUACAGAUGGGCCCGCGGCGCAUUAGUUAGUUGGUGAGGUAACGGCUCACCAAGACCACGAUGCGUAGCCGACCUGAGAGGGUGAUCGGCCACACUGGGACUGAGACACGGCCCAGACUCCUACGGGAGGCAGCAGUAGGGAAUCUUCCGCAAUGGACGAAAGUCUGACGGAGCAACGCCGCGUGAGUGAAGAAGGUCUUCGGAUCGUAAAACUCUGUUAUCAGGGAAGAACAAGUACCGGAGUUACUGCCGGUACCUUGACGGUACCUGACCAGAAAGCCACGGCUAACUACGUGCCAGCAGCCGCGGUAAUACGUAGGUGGCAAGCGUUGUCCGGAAUUAUUGGGCGUAAAGCGCGCGCAGGCGGUUCUUUAAGUCUGAUGUGAAAUCUUGCGGCUCAACCGUGAGCGGUCAUUGGAAACUGGAGAACUUGAGUGCAGAAGAGAAGAGCGGAAUUCCACGUGUAGCGGUGAAAUGCGUAGAGAUGUGGAGGAACACCAGUGGCGAAGGCGGCUCUUUGGUCUGUAACUGACGCUGAGGCGCGAAAGCGUGGGGAGCGAACAGGAUUAGAUACC
rnacentral:rRNA from 1 species